GCUGGGCCUGGGCGGGUUCGGGGCGCGGCGCCGGCUCUACCGGGGUCGGCGGCGUCGAGGGCGUCGGGGUCGGAUCGGGCUCGGGGUCCGGCU
rnacentral:tRNA from 1 species